rnacentral:rRNA from 1 species
AAGACCUUGCACUUUUGGAGCGGCCGAUGUCUGAUUAGCUAGUUGGUGGGGUAAUGGCCUACCAAAGCUUCGAUCAGUAGCUGGUCUGAGAGGACGGCCAGCCACACUGGGACUGAGACACGGCCCAGACUCCUACGGGAGGCAGCAGUGGGGAAUUUUGGACAAUGGGCGCAAGCCUGAUCCAGCCAUGCCGCGUGAGUGAAGAAGGCCUUCGGGUCGUAAAGCUCUUUCAGCCGGGAAGAAAAGGUUGCGACUAAUAAUCGCAAUCCAUGACGGUACCGAAAGAAGAAGCACCGGCUAACUACAUGCCAGCAGCCGCGGUAAUACGUAGGGUGCGAGCGUUAAUCGGAAUUACUGGGCGUAAAGGGUGCGCAGGCGGUUUUGUAAGUCAGAUGUGAAAUCCCCGGGCUUAACCUGGGAACU